GUUGUUGUGACGUCAUAAUGUAUGCGCUGCAGAAUCUGUUGUGAUUCGGCUGAUUAAAGCCCUAGAUCCAAACGUGUGAGGCAGCAAGAACCUUUGGGCCAAAUGUGGAAGUUGCAGUGAAAAAGAUAAGGCCCAUGGGUGAGAUUUUACAAAAAAUGUAAAUGCACACAGACUGAAGACAUUUAUAAUAUGACUAAGGUGCUAUAAGUGAUUUUAGCCAUUCUGGAACUUCCGUUCUGCAGCUGUUGAAUUGGACAUGCCCCCUCUUUCAAAAAACCCGCCCUCCAAAAAUGCCGUUGAGAACAACACCAAACAGUAGCACAGCAUUGUGUCUUCUCACGGUUGCCAAACACAACAGUAGCAAAAUAUCACCCUCAGCUGACAACUGACAAAUCUGAAUAUGGCAUUUAACCUGAAUGAUCCACUUUAACUACUACACUAAGAGAAAUGACAAAAUGAUUGACAAGCAGAAAGCACAUCAAAGUCUUCUGAUUGUCUGACCAAAUAAUGUGACCACGACCAAUGAAAAUUAUUGUAAAAAUAUGCAUUAGACAAUUCUAACCACUUUCAAUGGCACUACCAACAUCAAUUCACUUGUGUAAUGUUUAACAUGCUAUUUGUACUUCAAAUAAA